UCCCCACGAUCUCCACCUCUUCCACUUCUUCACCUCCAUUAUCUCCAUGACUACUGUAUGUAUAAAAUCUCAAGAAUGGUCUUCUCAUCAGUCAUCAUCAUCCAUCGAUUAUUCUCAGAAAUCAGUGACUUUUACUCAUCCCAAAGGCUUAACGGAGCUUAAUCGGUGAUGAAGAAUCAAAUCAAAUCAUAUAGUCUCUUCUUCGCUGAUUACUCUUAUUUCUCUGUGAUCUCACCUUAUGGAAUAAUAUCUCCCUUUCUUUGCAUGUAAUUGUAGCUCACAGUAUCUCACCUUGAUUCACGUUUAAUUGCUUUUCA